AAGGAGGACCCGGGCCUUCCAGGGCCCCCUGGAUCAACCUAUGGCAUGUAACAUGUCGGCGCAAAUGCAAAACGAUGAAUAUGAUGAUAUGUGCCAGAAAUUCUUCUUUAUAUUACAACUUUUAUAUCUUAGUGAUGCUUUAAGCUACAAAUGAAGCUUGACCUUUAAACCGUUUGGAUACAGAUGUGUUUUGAAAAAGUAAUGCCCUGUCAGGAGUGCAAAAGAAUAAUGAUUACAACUGUAGAACAGAAUGAUUUUUCAAUAUAUGAAAUACACCUUACCAUAAACAAAAUUCAAUUCUGUUAAAAAGAUAAGUCCUCC
rnacentral:lncRNA from 1 species